rnacentral:rRNA from 1 species
UACGGAGGGUGCGAGCGUUGUCCGGAAUCACUGGGCGUAAAGGGCGCGUAGGCGGUCGGCCAAGCGUGCGGUGAAAGCCCGGGGCUCAACCCCGGGUCGGCCGUGCGAACUGGCUGACUGGAGCACUGUAGAGGCGGGUGGAAUUCCGGGUGUAGCGGUGGAAUGCGUAGAGAUCCGGAAGAACACCGGUGGCGAAGGCGGCCCGCUGGGCAGUGGCUGACGCUGAGGCGCGACAGCGUGGGGAGCAAACAGG